UAACACCAGCGCCACAAGUGGCAACCGCUUUUAUUGGGCCUAAAGCGUCCGUAGCCGGUUCAGUAAAUUUCCUGUGAAAUCGUUAGGCUUAACCUAACGUUGUGCAGGAAAGACUACUGUACUAGGGACCGGGAGGCGUCAGAGGUAUUCUUGAGGGAGCGGUAAAAUGCUAUAAUCUCGGGAGGACCACCGAUGGCGAAGGCAUCUGACGAGAACGGAUCCGACGGUGAGGGACGAAAGCUAGGGGAGCAAACCGGAUUAGAUACCCGAGUAGUCCUAGCUGUAAACGCUGCGAGCUAGGUGUUACGUAUUCUUCGGGAAUACGUAGUGUCGAAGCGAAGGUGUUAAGCUCGCCGCCUGGGAAGUAUGGUCGCAAGACUG
rnacentral:rRNA from 1 species